GAUCCGUGGCUCAGAGCGAACGUUAGCGGCAGGCUUAACACAUGCAAGGUCGAGCGAGAAAGGGGCUUCGGCUCCGAGUAAAGCGGCGGACGGGUGCGUAACACGUGGAUAAUCUGCCUCGUGGCGGGGGACAACAGUCCGAAAGGACUGCUAAUACCGCAUGUCAGGUCGGAAACUCCGGUUUCUGACGAAAAAGAGGGCGCCCGCAAGGGGCUCUCACCACGAGAUGAGUCCGCGUCCCAUCAGCUAGUUGGCGGUGUAAUAGACCACCAAGGCUUUAGACGGGUAGCUGGUCUGAGAGGAUGACCAGCCACACUGGGACUGAGACACGGCCCAGACUCCUACGGGGAGGCAGCAGGUGGGGAAUAUUGGACAAUGGGCGAAAGCCUGAUUCCAGCCAUGCCGCGUGAGUGAUGAAGGCCUUCGGGUCGUAAAGCUCUGUGGGGGAGGGACGA
rnacentral:rRNA from 1 species